UGGAUCAGGAGAGGACAGAUGGGUCCAGGUAGUGGAUCAGGAGAGGACAGAUGACAGAUGGGUCCAGGUAGUGGAUCAGGAGAGGACAGAUGGGUCCAGGUAGUGGAUAAGGAGAGGACAGAUGACAGAUGGGUCCAGGUAGUGGAUCUGGAGAGGACAGAUGGGUCCAGGUUGUGGAUCAGGAGAGGACCGAUGGGUCCAGGUAGUGGAUCAGGAGAGGAUAGAUGACAGAUGGGUCCAGGUAGUGGAUCAGGAGAGGACAGAUGGGUCCAGGUAGUGGAUCAGGAGAGGACCGAUGGGUCCAGGUAGUGGAUCAGGAGAGGACAGAUGGGUCCAGGUAGUGGAUCAGGAGAGGACAGAUGGGUCCAGGUAGUGGAUCAGGAGAGGAC
rnacentral:lncRNA from 1 species